rnacentral:tRNA from 1 species
CAAAAAAUAGUUUAAAAAAAAACAAUAAAUUUGGAUUUUAUAAAUCUACAGAUGUGUAGUUUUUUGA